GCUUUUAUAGCUUAUCUAAAGCGUAGCGCUGAAAACGCUAAGAUGAACCCUAAAAAGUUCUAAAAGCA
rnacentral:tRNA from 1 species